CCUACGGGAGGCAGCAGUGAGGAAUAUUGGUCAAUGGACGAGAGUCUGAACCAGCCAAGUAGCGUGAAGGAUGACUGCCCUAUGGGUUGUAAACUUCUUUUAUAUGGGAAUAAAACGUUCCACGUGUGGGAUUUUGUAUGUACCAUAUGAAUAAGGAUCGUCUAACUCCGUGCCAGCAGCCGCGGUACUACGGAGGAUCCGAGCGUUAUCCGGAUUUAUUGGGUUUAAAGGGAGCGUAGGUGGAUUGUUAAGUCAGUUGUGAAAGUUUGCGGCUCAACCGUAAAAUUGCAGUUGAAACUGGCAGUCUUGAGUACAGUAGAGGUGGGCGGAAUUCGUGGUGUAGCGGUGAAAUGCUUAGAUAUCACGAAGAACUCCGAUUGCGAAGGCAGUUCACUGGACUGCAACUGACACUGAGGCUCGAAAGUGUGGGUAUCAAACAGGAUUAGAUACCCGAGUAGUC
rnacentral:rRNA from 1 species